AACGGAGCUUAAAGAGCUUGCUUUUUAAGCUUAGUGGCGAACGGGUGAGUAACGCGUGAGUAACCUGCCCUAGAGUGGGGGACAACAGUUGGAAACGACUGCUAAUACCGCAUAAGCCCACGGCUCGGCAUCGAGCAGAGGGAAAAGGAGCAAUCCGCUUUGAGAUGGCCUCGCGUCUGAUUAGCUGGUUGGUGAGGUAACGGCCCACCAAGGCGACGAUCAGUAGCCGGACUGAGAGGUUGACCGGCCACAUUGGGACUGAGAUACGGCCCAGACUCC
rnacentral:rRNA from 1 species